UACGGGGGGUGCGAGCGUUGUCCGGAAUCACUGGGCGUAAAGGGCUCGUAGGCGGCCAACUAAGUCAGACGUGAAAUCCCUCGGCUUAACCGGGGAACUGCGUCUGAUACUGGAUGGCUUGAGAUUGGGAGAGGGAUGCGGAAUUCCAGGUGUAGCGGUGAAAUGCGUAGAUAUCUGGAGGAACACCGGUGGCGAAGGCGGCAUCCUGGACCAACACUGACGCUGAGGAGCGAAAGCCAGGGGAGCAAAGCGGG
rnacentral:rRNA from 1 species